AUUGAACGCUGGCGGCAGGCUUAACACAUGCAAGUCGAGCGGAGUGAUGGUGCUUGCACUAUCACUUAGCGGCGGACGGGUGAGUAAUGCUUAGGAAUCUGCCUAUUAGUGGGGGACAACAUCUCGAAAGGGAUGCUAAUACCGCAUACGUCCUACGGGAGAAAGCAGGGGAUCACUUGUGACCUUGCGCUAAUAGAUGAGCCUAAGGCGGAUUAGCUAGUUGGUGGGGUAAAGGCCUACCAAGGCGACGAUCUGUAGCGGGUCUGAGAGGAUGAUCCGCCACACUGGGACUGAGACACGGCCCAGACUCCUACGGGAGGCAGCAGUGGGGAAUAUUGGACAAUGGGGGGAACCCUGAUCCAGCCAUGCCGCGUGUGUGAAGAAGGCCUUAUGGUUGUAAAGCACUUUAAGCGAGGAGGAGGCUCUUUUGGUUAAUACCCAAGAUGAGUGGACGUUACUCGCAGAAUAAGCACCGGCUAACUCUGUGCCAGCAGCCGCCGUAACAC
rnacentral:rRNA from 1 species